CCGACCGUGACUCUUUACGCGACGCGACGAUUAAUUCAAGGUUAACCUAUAUAUAUUGACGGCAGGGAGCUGAUAGUGCUGAUACUGAGAUCAAGGAGCCUGUUCACACGAGGCGUUUCUGCCGCGCGAUUGCGGCCGCGCGUUAACGUUUGCACGAGCCGCACGCUGUCACGAGGUAAGGUGCGACAACGCGCGCAUACGCGCGUACACGAAACGGCAGUAACACCGUAAUCGUGCCGGCGAUAUACUGAAUUUGAAUUGCUUCGUGCUUAUCUGGAGAUUUCGUAUCCCUACAUCGUGUUACCACCGCUGCCGGAAAAGAAGGUUCUCUACGCUUGGCAGAAAGUGACGACUGACACGUUCGAUCCCGACUUCGUUGAUCGCGGAAGAGCUGGACUCGAGAGGUAUAUAUAUUGACAGCAGAGAGCUGAUACCGAGGAGAUCAAGGAACCUGUUCACAGGAGGUGUUUCUGCCGCGCGUACAUAAUAUGUUCCCUGCUGAAAAUGACCGAUUAAAUCCGAUUGGUUCCGUAUUAAAUUUGGUGAAAUUGAAUCGGAAUGAAUGCGUUUUCAAUCCGGUUAAUCGGAUGCCCGAUUGGAAGUGAAUCGGUUCUAAUAACAAAUCAAUCGGAAUCGUUUUUAAUUCGGCAUUUCCGGAUUGAUCUGAAUCCGUCGUUAUCAGUUUCAAUUGUAUUAAUGCACAUCCAUUUUAAUCGGGUGAAUAAAGUGAGCACAUGAAUCGUGUUGAAUCCGCAUCAAUCGUAAAAUUUUAAUACAACACCGAAAUCGGAUUUAAUGCGAUAUUUCCGGAUUCAUUUGAAUCCGACUGAAUCGGUUUCAAUCGUAUUAAUCCUAAUCCAUUUUAAUAGGGUAAAUAAAAUGACCACAUGAAUCGUAUUCAAUCCGCAUCAAUCGUGAAAUUUUAAUACAACACCGGAAUCGGAUUUAAUGCGAUAUUUCCGGAUUCAUCUAAAUUCUACUCAAUCGGUUUCAAUCGUAUCUGCGCUUAAUCCAUUUAAAUUGGGUAGUGAAAGUAGCUAUGUGAAUCGGAUUAAAUCCGCUUUAAUCAUUAAAAUUGUAUAUAACACAUAAUUUUUACGUAAUAGAGUUCUUACAGGAUUUCCUUUUGGUAAAGUCAUGAAUUCUAUAUUUGCAAAAUUGUAAAUGUUUUUAUUUAACCCUUCGAGAACACACAGGGUUAAUUUGACCCUUUUUUUUGCCAGAAAAAUUUUUAGCCAAAAAUAUUAAACAUAAAAAAAUAAAAUUUUUUUCGUAAAAACCAUUUUUUUUCCAAAAGAACACACUGGUUCAAUCUGACCCUACACACACUUUGAUCGUCUACCAU